UACGUAGGGUGCAAGCGUUGUCCGGAAUUAUUGGGCGUAAAGAGCUCGUAGGUGGCCUGUCGCGUCGGCUGUGAAAACUCGGGGCUCAACUCCGAGCUUGCAGUCGAUACGGGCAGGCUAGAGUUCGGCAGGGGAGACUGGAAUUCCUGGUGUAGCGGUGAAAUGCGCAGAUAUCAGGAGGAACACCGGUGGCGAAGGCGGGUCUCUGGGCCGAUACUGACGCUGAGGAGCGAAAGCGUGGGGAGCGAAACGGG
rnacentral:rRNA from 1 species